GACAGAGGUGCCAAGCGUUAGGCGGAAUCACUGGGCUUAAAGCGUGUGUAGGCGGGCUUUUAAGUCAGUGGUGAAAUCUCCGGGCUCAACCUGGAAACUGCCAUUGAUACUAUUAGUCUUGAAUUUUGUUGAGGUAGGCGGAAUAAGUCAUGUAGCGGUGAAAUGCAUAGAUAUGACUUAGAACACCAAUUGCGAAGGCAGCUUGCUAAACAAAUAUUGACGCUGAGGCACGAAAGCGUGGGGAUCAAACAGG
rnacentral:rRNA from 1 species